AAGUAAGGAAGUUAACCUAAGAACGUCGCAUCAUGCUACAUUGGCUAACUGACCUACAUCAUGCAGC
rnacentral:sRNA from 1 species